UUAAGUUAAUAAGGGCGCACGGUGGAUGCCUUGGCACUAGGAGCCGACGAAGGACGUGACAAACGACGAUAUACCUUGGGUAGCUGUAAGUAAGCGAUGAUCCAGGGAUUUCCGAAUGGGGAACCCAACAGGUAAUACCUGUUACCCACAUCUGUUAAGGAUGUGAGGAGGAAGACGCAGUGAACUGAAACAUCUAAGUAGCUGCAGGAAGAGAAAGCAAAAGCGAUUGCCUUAGUAGCGGCGAGCGAAACGGCAGAAGGGCAAACCGAAGAGUUUACUCUUCGGGGUUGUAGGACUGCAGUGUGGACUCAAAGAUUAUAGAAGAAUGAUUUGGGAAGAUCAGCCAAAGAGAGUAAUAGCCUCGUAUUUAAAAUAGUCUUUGUACCUAGCAGUAUCCUGAGUACGGCGGGACACGUGAAAUCCCGUCGGAAUCUGGGAGGACCAUCUCCCAACCCUAAAUACUCCCUAGUGACCGAUAGUGAACCAGUACCGUGAGGGAAAGGUGAAAAGCACCCCGGGAGGGGAGUGAAAUAGAACCUGAAACCGUGUGCCUACAACAAGUUCGAGCCCGUUAAUGGGUGAGAGCGUGCCUUUUGUAGAAUGAACCGGCGAGUUACGUUAUGAUGCGAGGUUAAGUUGAAGAGACGGAGCCGUAGGGAAACCGAGUCUGAACAGGGCGAAUUAGUAUCAUGACGUAGACCCGAAACCAUGUGACCUACCCAUGAGCAGGUUGAAGGUGCGGUAAGACGCACUGGAGGACCGAACCAGGGCACGUUGAAAAGUGCUUGGAUGACUUGUGGGUAGCGGAGAAAUUCCAAACGAACUUGGAGAUAGCUGGUUCUCUCCGAAAUAGCUUUAGGGCUAGCGUCGACAUUAGAGAUUCUUGGAGGUAGAGCACUGUUUGGGUGAGGGGUCCAUCCCGGAUUACCAAUCUCAGAUAAACUCCGAAUGCCAAUGAAUUAUGGUCGGCAGUCAGACUGCGAGUGCUAAGAUCCGUAGUCGAAAGGGAAACAGCCCAGACCACCAGCUAAGGUCCCAAAAUAAUUGUUAAGUGGAAAAGGAUGUGGGGUUGCACAGACAACUAGGAUGUUAGCUUAGAAGCAGCUAUUCAUUCAAAGAGUGCGUAAUAGCUCACUAGUCGAGUGACCCUGCGCCGAAAAUGUACCGGGGCUAAAACAAUUUACCGAAGCUGUGGAUACCUUUAUAGGUAUGGUAGGAGAGCGUUCUAUGUGUGAUGAAGGUAUACCGUGAGGAGUGCUGGAACGCAUAGAAGUGAGAAUGCCGGUAUGAGUAGCGAAAGACAGGUGAGAAUCCUGUCCACCGUAAGACUAAGGUUUCCAGGGGAAGGCUCGUCCGCCCUGGGUUAGUCGGGACCUAAGGAGAGACCGAAAGGUGUAUCCGAUGGACAACAGGUUGAUAUUCCUGUACUAGAGUAUGUAGUGAUGGAGGGACGCAGUAGGCUAACUAAAGCAGACGAUUGGAAGAGUCUGUCUAAGCAGUGAGGUGUGAAUUGAGUCAAAUGCUUAAUUCUAUAACAUUGAGCUGUGAUGGGGAGCGAAGUUUAGUAGCGAAGUUAGUGACGUCACACUGCCAAGAAAAGCUUCUAGCGUUUAAACAUACUCUACCCGUACCGCAAACCGACACAGGUAGUCGAGGCGAGUAGCCUCAGGUGAGCGAGAGAACUCUCGUUAAGGAACUCGGCAAAAUGACCCCGUAACUUCGGGAGAAGGGGUGCUGACUUUAGGUCAGCCGCAGUGAAUAGGCCCAAGCAACUGUUUAUCAAAAACACAGCUCUCUGCUAAAUCGUAAGAUGAUGUAUAGGGGGUGACGCCUGCCCGGUGCUGGAAGGUUAAGAGGAGUGCUUAGCGUAAGCGAAGGUAUGAAUUGAAGCCCCAGUAAACGGCGGCCGUAACUAUAACGGUCCUAAGGUAGCGAAAUUCCUUGUCGGGUAAGUUCCGACCCGCACGAAAGGCGUAAUGAUUUGGGCACUGUCUCAACGAGAGACUCGGUGAAAUUUUAGUACCUGUGAAGAUGCAGGUUACCCGCGACAGGACGGAAAGACCCCAUGGAGCUUUACUGCAGUUUGAUAUUGAGUGUCUGUACCACAUGUACAGGAUAGGUAGGAGUCUAAGAGAUCGGGACGCCAGUUUCGAAGGAGACGCUGUUGGGAUACUACCCUUGUGUUAUGGCCACUCUAACCCAGAUAGGUGAUCCCUAUCGGAGACAGU
rnacentral:rRNA from 1 species